GCAAGUCGAACGAGAACUAUCCUAGCUUGCUAGGGCGUAAGCUAAGUGGCGCACGGGUGAGUAAAACAUAGUUAAUCUGCCUUUUGGAGAGGGAUAACAGUUGGAAACGACUGCUAAUACCUCAUACUCCUUUAUAACAUAAGUUGUGAAGGGAAAUGAGUUCUGCCAAGAGAUGAGACUAUGACCUAUAAGCUAGUUGGUGAGGUAAGAGCUCACCAAGGCUAUGACGGGUAACUGGUUUGAGAGGAUGAUC
rnacentral:rRNA from 1 species